rnacentral:lncRNA from 1 species
CAGCCCCACUCUGGAUGAGGAGGCGGCAGAGCCGUGUCUCUCUAUUGCCCAGAGAAGAGCCCCUUCUCCCACGGAAGCUGCUCUGCUCUCCACCCUGUACGCCAGCUCCCAACUGCUCUUCAACAGCCCAGCCGCGGGCACGAGGAGGACGCGUUUGACGGGAGCCCGCAUGUCACCCUCCCUCCCAGCCGGGCGAUGCCUCUCCUACAGCUUCCCUCCAACUGACUGUCCUAAUCAGGCUCCAGAGGGGAGGCUGAUUGGAGCUGCGGUGGGUGGAAGCCGGGAUAGACUGGAAGAAGGACUUCCCAGACUCCCAGGGAGACCCAGGAAGCAGGGGAGGGUGUGGGACCCGCUACAGCACCCCCACCAACCCAGGAAGGUCGUGGAGGCUGGAUCCCGGCCCAUGGUGCUCACAGGCCCCCGCCCCAGGGAGCUGGGAAGGGCAUGCGGGCUGCGUGGCUGGGC